UGGGGAAUUUUUCGCAAUGGGGGCAACCCUGACGAAGCAAUGCCGCGUGGGUGAUGAAGUCUCUUGGGACGUAAAACCCUUUCGACAGGGACGAAACCGCAAGGUUGACGGUACCUGUAGAAGAAGCCCCGGCUAACUCCGUGCCAGCAGCCGCGGUAAUACGGGGGGGGCAAGCGUUGUUCGGAAUUACUGGGCGUAAAGGGUGCGUAGGCGGCUCUCUAAGUCGGAUGUGAAAACUCUGGGCUCAACCCAGAGCCUGCAUCCGAAACUGGAGGGCUAGGGUUCUGGAGGGGAAAGCGGAAUUCCUGGUGUAGCGGUGAAAUGCGUAAAUAUCAGGAGGAACACCGGUGGCGAAGGCGGCUUUCUGGACAGACACCGACGCUGAGGCACGAAAGCUAGGGGAGCAAACAGGAUUAGAUACCCUGGUAGUCCUAGCCCUAAACGAUGGAUACUUGCUGUGAGGGGGAUUGAAUCCCUUUGUGGCGAAGCUAACGCAUUAAGUAUCCCGCCUGGGGAGUACGGUCGCAAGG
rnacentral:rRNA from 1 species